AUUGAACGCUGGCGGCAGGCCUAACACAUGCAAGUCGAGCGGUAGAGAGAAGCUUGCUUCUCUUGAGAGCGGCGGACGGGUGAGUAAUGCCUAGGAAUCUGCCUGGUAGUGGGGGAUAACGUUCGGAAACGGACGCUAAUACCGCAUACGUCCUACGGGAGAAAGCAGGGGACCUUCGGGCCUUGCGCUAUCAGAUGAGCCUAGGUCGGAUUAGCUAGUUGGUGGGGUAAUGGCUCACCACGGCGACGAUCCGUAACUGGUCUGAGAGGAUGAUCGGAAACACUGGAACUGAGACACGGUCCAGACUCCUACGGCAGGCAGCAGUGGGGAAUAUUGGACAAUGGGCGAAAGCCUGAUCCAGCCAUGCCGCGUGUGUGAAGAAGGUCUUCGGAUUGUAAAGCACUUUAAGUUGGGAGGAAGGGCAGUAAAUUAAUACUUUGCUGUUUUGACGUUACCGACAGAAUAAGCACCGGCUAACUCUGUGCCAGCCGCCGCCGUAA
rnacentral:rRNA from 1 species